GGCGGACGGGUGAGUAAUGUCUGGGAAACUGCCUGAUGGAGGGGGGAUAACUACUGGAAACGGUAGCUAAUACCGCAUAACGUCGCAAGACCAAAGAGGGGGACCUUCGGGCCUCUUGCCAUCGGAUGUGCCCAGAUGGGAUUAGCUAGUAGGUGGGGUAAAGGCUCACCUAGGCGACGAUCCCUAGCUGGUCUGAGAGGAUGACCAGCCACACUGGAACUGAGACACGGUCCAGACUCCUACGGGAGGCAGCAUG
rnacentral:rRNA from 1 species